GAUCCUUUAAGCCCUACUGGUC
rnacentral:siRNA from 1 species